rnacentral:rRNA from 1 species
CGUGAGGUGUUGGGUUAAGUCCCGCAACGAGCGCAACCCCUACCCUUAGUUGCUAACAGGUUUGGCUGAGAACUCUAGGGGGACUGCCGGUGACAAGCCGGAGGAAGGCGGGGAUGACGUCAAGUCCUCAUGGCCCUUACGGGUUGGGCUACACACGUGCUACAAUGGCGGCGACAGAGGGUUGCGAGCUCGCGAGAGCAAGCUAAUCCCCAAAAGCCGUCUCAGUUCGGAUUGUUCUCUGCAACUCGAGAGCAUGAAGGCGGAAUCGCUAGUAAUCGCGGAUCAGCUUGCCGCGGUGAAUACGUUCCCGGGUCUUGUACACACCGCCCGUCACACCAUGGGAGCGGGUUCUGCCAGAAGUAGUUAGCCUAACCGCAAGGGGGGCGAUUACCACGGCAGGGUUCGUGACUGGGGUGAAGUCGUAACAAGGUA